rnacentral:rRNA from 1 species
UGAAAUUCCGGGGCUCAACUCCGGGGCUGCAUCUGAAACUGCAUUUCUUGAGUGCUGGAGAGGAAAGCGGAAUUCCUAGUGUAGCGGCGGAAUGCGUAGAGAUCCGGAAGAACACCGGUGGCGAAGGCGGCCUGCUGGGCAGUUGCUGACGCUGAGGCGCGACAGCGUGGGGAGCAAACAGGAUUAGACACCCUGGCAGUCCACGCCGUAAACGAUGGCUCUCCUUCGGGAGAGUGAAAGUGGCAAACGGGUGAGUAACACGUUGGUGACCUGCCCCCAGGCGGGGGAUAACCCUGGGAAACCAGGGCUAAUACCGCGGAUGUCUGAAGCUUUAGAAAAUUCAGACUAAAACUGAGGUGCCUGGGGAGGGGCCUGCGGAAACUCCUGUCUUCAGGGACGAAUAAUGACGGUACCUGAGGAGGAAGCCACGGCUAACUACGUGCCAGCAGCCGCGGUAAUACGUAGGUGGCGAGCGUUGUCCGGAAUUAUUGGGCGUAAAGGGCGCGUAGGCGGCUCUUUAAGUCAGAUGUGAAAACCCAGG